GUAAGAGUGGGGAGGGCCCCCGAUUGGGUAGGAACCCUAGCCCAUUCUCCCCGCCGCGCCCCUCUCCCCUUCUCUACCGCCGCCGCCGCCGCCAGCGCAGGCCGCGGACACGACGAGGAGGCGGCCGGCAUCACCGCGCGCCGCCCGGCCAAGGUCUUCUCCCGCGUGCGCCAGCUCCUCGCCAAACCUUUCCCCUACGCGCGGCCCUCGCCGACUUGCUCUUCCUCGGCGGGGAGCAGCAGUAGCAGGCGGAGGCGCUGUGCUCGCGGAGGGGCUGCAGAUCCCCGCCGAGCAGGCCGCGCUGGUGCUCGCCGCCGUGCUCCCCGGCGACGACGACGAACCCGCAACGGAAGGAGCUGGCGCCUCCCCGCCCCCAUCUAUCCACUCCGUCCAGAUCUUCCUGUACCCGCAGCAGAUAGAGAGAGGGAUGAUGUGAAGGAGACCAGAUAGAGAGAGGGAUGAUGCGAAGGAGACGAGAGGAAGGAGAAGCCAUGCCCCGUCCACUGCGUCGUGCGCGACGACCGGCUGGGCUCUGUUUCAGCACCCCAAUGCUUGUCGGCGCUUCUUCGACGACCACCCAGGCACGCCAUCGCCUCUCUUCGACCCCAACGGAAGGGACGACUAAUUAAUCUGUCCAGAUCCGAGGCAAGUGAGGCCUUGCUUCACCCCUCUCCCCUUCAAGAAGGAUGUGCCCUUCCUCUGCUCGUUGUUGCUGAUUCAGGCAUGGGCUAUUGAGGCUUCUUCGUGGUGCUUGGACCUGUUAGUUCCCUGGCUUUGGUUUUCUUUCAGUUUUUGGGAUGGGUUACAAAAGCAUGCAGAUAAUGAGAGUUGAAAUUCUGAAUCUUUGCGCCUUUGGAUUAUAUAUAUAGCUAGACUCUGUUUGCAAUAAGCUGGGUGCGAAGUAUGCUUCUGUUCCAGUUGUCGAGCUGAAGGAUCACCCAGAUUUAUGUGAAGAUCUUCUGAGGUGCGAAUUCUCUAUUUCUACGAACUGCAGGCGCAAUCUUGUAUUGUUAGUGGUGAACCAUGCUGAUUUUUCUCUUUGUGCCCUGAUGUUUCCUUUUAAGUUAGACAUCACAAUCUUAGAAGCCUUGCAUGACAAAGAUAACCCUUGGCAUAUUUUUUGCUUCUGUCAGUAUACUUUUGAUGGCCAUGCCUCUGAUUGUCAGUAUAUUUUGCUUCUGUCAAUAUACUCCGCAUAAUAUGUUUGGAUGGAUGCUCUAAUAUGUUUGGAUGGAUGCGAGUGUACAUCUGGUUUGACAUGGUUUGAAAAAUGACCAACUGGAUGGAUUUUGCAACUUUUGGUUCAAUUCAUGGGUAUAUUAAAUCUGUAGUUGUGAAUUUCAUCUUGCAAUUCAGAAUGCGUUAAUUGGAUUAUAUCGGCGAUGAUAUCUAUAAGGUUAUUUGUCAAAUACCCUGAGCCCAGGACGUGCCUAUGUAAAUCUUACAUUCUGAAAUCACAAGCUUAUUGUGAGAUUUUCAACAAUCAUAUACAUUUUGGUCAAUGCCACCCUGAUGGUUAGUGCAUUUUCCUUCUGUCGGUAUACUCUACAUAAUAUAUUUGGAUGGAUGUUCUGAUAUGAGAUUUUUGUGGCAAGUAGUUAAAUCACUCUCACGGGUUGUAAAUCUGUGUUGGUCUGUUUUGAAAAAUGGCCAACUAGAUAGCUUCUGCCACUUUUGAUUAUAUUCAGAGGUAAAUUAAUUUGUACUCGUACAGUUCAUAAUGCAAUUCAGACUCUGUCAAUUGUAUUUUAUGAAUAAUGAUUUGUCUUCGGUUGUUCUGUUCAAAUACCCUCAACCCAAGAUGUAUCUGUGUUAUCUUACAUUCAGAACUCAAAAUCUUAUUGUUGAAUUUGGCGACUACAUUCUGCUGUUGGCUUAGCUUCUCAUUGUCGGUGUAUUUUGCUUGUGUCAGUAUAGUCUGCAUAAGAUGUUUGUGUGGAUGUUCUUAUAUGAAUUUAUGCAGCAACACUAACUAUGAUUUUACAGGUUAAUUAGCAGCACAUAUACAUUCAUUGUUCUUCGCACAAAAAUUUUGAUGCUAAAACUGCCUGGUACAUUAUUGUAGAAAGAGCAAAUGGCAUAUUGUAUGAACUAAUUGUCUCGGUUAUAUGGUUGCCGAGUGUUGACUAAUUUACUCAACAAAGUAGUUUACUCGGUUUAGCAGUUUUGUUCCAUUUGGUUUAAUCGCUCGGGAUUCUUUGGGAGUAUUUAGGACUGAACUACACUUUUAUAGUAAUUGAAAACUCGUCGUGCCUCACAUGACACAGUGCAACGGCUACGAAGAGGACAUGCGAGUUUGUGUUGGGUGUGGGUGGCUGGAUUCUUAUUUUUGAGCUUGCAUGCCUGGCACAUUCUGUUUUCAAAUAUAUUAUACCUAUCUAAUUGUUUGGCGUCUCAGGCACAAGAGCAUGAGGUGUUUGCACCAAUUGCUUUCUUCACACCACGGCCAUGGCUUUGCACCUAUUCUAACUCUGGCAAGUACCCGGUGAUAUAUGAAGCCACCAGCUCUUGUGAUGUACCAUGUAAACAACCGUGUGAUCUCCCUCUUCUUUUGUGAACACGACGGCGCGUCUAUCCAUCCUUGUACGAACAUUGCAUGGAUGGACAUUGCAUCCUUCAAUUUACCAUGUAUGAACAUUUGCAUCCUUUAAUUGUGUUUACUAUCGUUCUGGCCGCUA